UACGUAGGGUGCGAGCGUUAAUCGGAAUUACUGGGCGUAAAGCGCGCGUAGGUGGUUUGUUAAGUCUGAUGUGAAAGCCCGCGGCUCAACCGUGGAAUUGCCAUUGAAACUGCAUAGCUUGAGUACAGUUGAAGUGGGCGGAAUAUGUCAUGUAGCGGUGAAAUGCUUAGAUAUGACAUAGAACACCGAUUGCGAAGGCAGCUCACUAAGCUGUAACUGACACUGAGGCACGAAAGCGUGGUUAGCGAACAGG
rnacentral:rRNA from 1 species